AUUGAACGCUGGCGGAAUGCCUUACACAUGCAAGUCGAACGGCAGCACGGACUUCGGUCUGGUGGCGAGUGGCGAACGGGUGAGUAAUGUAUCGGAACGUGCCCAGUCGUGGGGGAUAACGUAGUGAAAAUUACGCUAAUACCGCAUACGAUCUAUGGAUGAAAGCGGGGGAUCGCAAGACCUCGCGCGAUUGGAGCGGCCGAUAUCAGAUUAGGUAGUUGGUGGGGUAAAGGCCCACCAAGCCAACGAUCUGUAGCUGGUCUGAGAGGACGACCAGCCACACUGGAACUGAGACACGGUCCAGACUCCGACGGGAGGCAGCAGUGGGGAAUUUUGGACAAUGGGCGAAAGCCUGAUCCAGCCAUUCCGCGUGCAGGAUGAAGGCCCUCGGGUUGUAAACUGCUUUUGUACAGAACGAAAAGGUUUCUACUAGUACUAGGAGCUCAUGACGGUACUGUAAGAAUAAGCACCGGCUAACUACGUGCCAGCCGCCGCAGUAA
rnacentral:rRNA from 1 species